CCUUUCGGGGNGGAUUAGUGGCGAACGGGUGAGUAACACGUGGGCAAUCUGCCCUGCACUCUGGGACAAGCCCUGGAAACGGGGUCUAAUACCGGAUGAUACUUUUCCCUGCAUGGGGAAGGGUUGAAAGCUCCGGCGGUGCAGGAUGAGCCCGCGGCCUAUCAGCUUGUUGGUGGGGUGAUGGCCUACCAAGGCGACGACGGGUAGCCGGCCUGAGAGGGCGACCGGCCACACUGGGACUGAGACACGGCCCAGACUCCUACGGGAGGCAGCAGUGGGGAAUAUUGCACAAUGGGCGAAAGCCUGAUGCAGCGACGCCGCGUGAGGGAUGACGGCCUUCGGGUUGUAAACCUCUUUCAGCAGGGAAGAAGCGAAAGUGACGGUACCUGCAGAAGAAGCGCCGGCUAACUACGUGCCAGCAGCCGCGGUAAUACGUAGGGCGCAAGCGUUGUCCGGAAUUAUUGGGCGUAAAGAGCUCGUAGGCGGUUUGUCACGUCGGUUGUGAAAGCCCGGGGCUUAACUCCGGGUCUGCAGUCGAUACGGGCAGACUAGAGUGUGGUAGGGGAGAUCGGAAUUCCUGGUGUAGCGGUGAAAUGCGCAGAUAUCAGGAGGAACACCGGUGGCGAANGCGGAUCUCUGGGCC
rnacentral:rRNA from 1 species